AGUCCAAGACAACCUAUCAUAAAGUGAAAGAAUAUGGUAAGGAGCAGUCACUACCCAUCAAGGAAAUCUCAACAUUUUCUGCCUUUCUCACCCCAGAGAUGUUUCUUCACUUAAAAGCUCCCUUCUCCAAUUGGUAUUCAUAUGUGUGAAGAUGGGAUUAACUGAAGAAGCAAUAAGAAGCAACUGACUGCUCCCUGGGCAGUGCUAAGAAAAUUUAUAGACUAAAGGAAUGCACAGGAAGUGAUGCAAAGAAGCAUCUUUAAAAGGAGUUACAAUUUCCUAUGAGAGUCAGUUCUUUGUUCUUCAGAGUUCCAAGUCUGAGUUGGAUGCUGGUGAAGAAUCUGCUUUAUGGACCUGAAACCCUGAACUUGGGGAGAAUGUUCUUAAAUCUCUCUCUUUGAAUAACACAUGGAAACUGCCAUGAUGAAAUAAUUGAUCUUCUCUGUCAACACAGGACAGCUGCUAUGACUAUACACAGUCUACCCCCACCCCCACCCUUCCUUUUAGUAGCUUUAAUUACUGCCUGAAACAAAAUAUUUAUAAAUCUCACUAGCCAUUGCAUCCAUUUAAAAGGGAUGAGGAGGCAGUAAUGAAUUAUGUCCAACAUUUGUUAAGCCAGCACCAGGGCAAACAUCUGCUACAAGGCUGUGGUGAAAAACAUUUCUAUCAACUCGGCCAUCUUGUCUGGAAAAUUACAAACCCUGGAGGGAUGUUUGCUAUUAAAGUUUCAGCCAUUCGGAGACCAGCUCUCUUCCUGAUGCAAGUGGCAUACAGAGAAUGACACUGCAGCAAUGAAUAUUCUGUGCUACUUUAGGAUGUAUCUAUCUUCAAGGAUUUCUUUACCUUACAAAGCAAUAAGACAAUUUCAAUCUUCAGUUUAUAGACAAAAAUGAAGUUAUGAUUCACCAAGGACAGGUGUUGUACCUAAAAGGAACAAGAAGCUACUAGGAAGAAUAUUAAUGUGCUACUCCAUUCAACUACAGUCUAGAAGGCUUCUUUUGAUACAGGGUUGCAGAGAGAAGGUAAUAGUAAAUCAAAGAAUUUUAGAGCUAGCAAAAACCUUAAGAGAUAAUCUAAUCAAUAUCAUAACUUUACAGGUAAGGAAAAUGAGGCCCUGGGAGGUAAAGUCCCCUGGACAGAGCCCAGGUCUUGAGACUACAAGACAGUCGGUGUAUUGUUCUUUCCACCCCUUCAACCCAAAGAAGUUCCUGACAUCCUUGUCCUUAUUUUCAAUAGUGCUCAUUUCCUGGAUUUUGAAAGCUGUCACCUUUAAGGAGUACAAUUUAGAGAGUAUAUUUUCCUUUACUUGAAAAAUUUCUAUUUUAACCUUAAUUUAGAUUUUGGGGCAAUUAUAACACUUUCUGUCCUUAUCUCAUCUCUGUGAAGUUCAGAAAUAUCUUCAGCAAAACUCUAAAGAACCUCCUUUCUUCCAUCCCAUUAAAAUGAGCAAGUGUUAUCCUUCUUCCCAAAAGAGUUAAGAAGAGGUCUUCCAUACUUAACUGGUUUUGUACCUAGUGACCCAAGAUUGGCCCAUGAUGUUGCACACCUGAGAUUCAUCAGAAAGAUCCUGGCUGGAAAGGUUCUGGCUUCUAUAUUGGCUAAGGCAUUGCAUCCCUCUUGAUGCCCAAAUUCUUCUAUUUGUAAAACAGAGCUGGUGUCUACCCUAGGAGGUCUCAGGAUGUCCCGACUAGAUUAUUAGAAGUGCAGUAAAGGAGAGACUUAACUAAAUAAAAAACAUAUUUAGUGGUACUUUUAGCCCUCAAUUUUCCAUGAAAUUAGAAGCCAAAUCACCAAAAUGGAGACUUAAUUAUACAAUUAUGACAAAUUAAAGGUUCAUAUGAUAACA